AACGAACGCUGGCGGCAGGCCUAACACAUGCAAGUCGAACGCCCGUAGCAAUACGGGAGUGGCAGACGGGUGAGUAACGCGUGGGAACGUGCCCUUCGGUUCGGAAUAACUCAGGGAAACUUGAGCUAAUACCGGAUACGUCCGUAAGGAGAAAGAUUUAUCGCCGAAGGAUCGGCCCGCGUCGGAUUAGCUAGUUGGUGAGGUAACGGCCCACCAAGGCGACGAUCCGUAGCUGGUCUGAGAGGANGAUCAGCCACACUGGGACUGAGACACGGCCCAGACUCCUACGGGAGGCAGCAGUGGGGAAUAUUGGACAAUGGGCGAAAGCCUGAUCCAGCCAUGCCGCGUGAGUGAAGAAGGCCUUAGGGUUGUAAAGCUCUUUCAGCGGGAAGAUAAUGACGGUACCG
rnacentral:rRNA from 1 species